rnacentral:lncRNA from 1 species
CAGUUAUCACUAGGAUCAAAAUGUAAGUGUAAACUGCAAAGAAACUCGUUCGUAAAAGCACGGAAGACAGUUCUGUAGAAUCAAACGUAAACGUAAACUGUAAUGUACGAAAAUACGAAUUUACGUCUGAAUGCAGAUUCGGAAGAACAGCACUUAGAACUUGUUCGUGAAAGCGCAGAGAGCAGUAGUAAUGAAGGAGGUUUGCAGUAAUGAUAAAGUGCUCAAAAAUAAACGCAAACCAGAGAUUUAGAGUGGUUCGGUCAGCCUUGACCUACUCCAAUUUUGGCUUCCUCCACCGACGAGGUCGCCGAUGUCAACUAGGGGCCUUCCUUCAAUAGGCGAAGGCCAAACUUCCCUUUUACAGUUUCUCUCCUUUUGACAGGCUCAGGAGACAACCUUUAUAGACCUUUCUCUCCUCACUUUACAACUGAAAACUUGAAGAAUAGAAGGAGGAGACUUAAAGGCUUUACAACACUUUUGAGCUCUUAGAAUCACAGAAAAGAUCAAGAUUUCGGUGUAGGUCUGUAUCUUUUCAGU